rnacentral:rRNA from 1 species
UACGAAGGGGGCUAGCGUUGUUCGGAAUUACUGGGCGUAAAGCGCGCGCAGGCGGUCUUCCAAGUCAGUGGUGAAAGCCCGGAGCUCAACUCCGGAACUGCCAUUGAAACUGUUAGACUUGAGGAUGAGAGAGGUGAGUGGAAUUCCCAGUGUAGAGGUGAAAUUCGCAGAUAUUGGGAAGAACACCGGUGGCGAAGGCGACCAACUGGUCCGACAUUGACACUGAGGCACGAAAGCGUGGGUAGCAAACAGG